rnacentral:rRNA from 1 species
ACCUUUUACAGAGGAAUAGCCUUUAGAAAUGAAGAUUAAUGCCUCAUAGUAUUGUAGACUGGCAUCAGUUUAUAAUUAAAGAUUUAUCGGUAAAAGAUGGCUAUGCGUCCUAUUAGUUAGUUGGUAAGGUAACGGCUUACCAAGACAGCGAUAGGUAGGGGUCCUGAGAGGGAGAUCCCCCACACUGGUACUGAGACACGGACCAGACUCCUACGGGAGGCAGCAGUGAGGAAUAUUGGACAAUGGAGGAGACUCUGAUCCAGCCAUGCCGCGUGUAGGAAGAAUGCCCUAUGGGUUGUAAACUACUUUUAUACAGGAAGAAACACUGGUAUGUA